GCUUUGAAGAUAUGUCAUCGCAUAAUGAGUCGCUUUUUUUCUCUUAUAUUUCAUGCUUUUCUAUUUCCAGUCCCUGGCUCUCUGCUGCCAUUUGCCCAUAUGCCUUAGCGAUUUAAUGAUAUGCAAAUGAAAUAUGCAUAAAACCAUUCUGCUGUAGGAUGAUUAAGCACAGAGGACAUUAGCCAGUGCCCACCACAGUGUCUGCUGUCUCCUCUGCAUUCCGCUUCGGCCGGGCGCCAACAACACCGUUCUAAUAAAGAUCAAUGCUGCUAAUGCGCUAAUCAUUUCAAUAAGACAAAUAAUAUCCAAGUGAAAGUAGAUUCCAAGAUGGUCUUCUCGCUCCAGUUUUGUAAGAUCCAGAACCAGGAAAGGCAGAUGUCUCCAUAUGCGAGAGAUGGUGCUCUGGAGAGCAGGCAGGGAGCAAAGACACCAAUGCAGGAGCUUUUCUCUGCUUGUUUGUGAGUACUGUGGCAUUAUUUGACUACUGGCAUAUAACGAAGGAAGAAAAAUAUCCCCAAUCCUGCUUUCCCUCUCUCUCUCUCUCUCUCUCUCUCUCGCUCUCUCUCUGACACACACAUAUACACACACUCCACCCCCCAUUCAAUUCUGCUCUCUCGUUCAAGCCCUUUUUUUUGUAAUCCAUUUGUGUAAUGAAGAUGCUGCACAAUUAACAUCCCCCAUGGAAUUAAAUAAAAGGGUGAUUAUCCAAAGUUCAUUAGCUCCAAACGAUUAGCAUAUCCACGUGUCUCCACUUGAUCGUUAUGGAAAAAAUGCAACAUCAAUUAUAAAUUUAGAUUCAUCGUAAUUCGUCUUUGUUGCGAUCGCGAUUUUUGCAUUUGAGAUGCCCGAAAAGAUGCCAUCUUUCAAUCGGUCCAUCCUCAGUGGUGGAUUCAGACAUCUUGGUAGUGCCAUGGCUGGGCAGCGAGCACAAAGAUGUUAUAAUCCCUCCUCUUUGGAAGACUUCCUUGAUUAUUCAUAUUGUAAAACCAUGCCUCUUGUCCAAAGAAAUCCAGGAGAAAAAAAGAAAAGUAAAAUAGUUACUGUUGGAUGAACAUCCCCGCGUGGCUAAUUACUGUUUUAAUUCCGAUUGUACGUUUUAAUUAACAACGAACUUAAUGAAGCCUCCGUUGUGCGUCUUUGCAGCGAUGCCCAUCCUUGGCUCUGUGCCCAACGCCAGCAGACCUCUCGGGAACAACAGAAUCGUUUCUCCGGACCCAGAGACUCCCGGAACCGCAACUCCAACCAGUUGUCAUCUCAGUGGGAUGAGACCAUCCUGAUAUUCCAAGGAGAAGAGCUGCUCACCUCACCAGGCCCGUGACUCUCAGGCGUCUCAGGUAAAUAUCCGGGUUUAAUGACGAACAGGAAGAUUAGCCACUUAUGUUCGCUCUCGAUUUCAAUGAGCGCCAGGAAAUUGGCUGGUGUUUGGGGGUUUUCUGAACAGCUUAUUCAAUGCAGACGCACUUGAUGAGCUUGGUGCGGAGUACAGAGAGGCCAGUAUUGAUUGUGCUCAUUGUGAAUUAUGUGAAUAGAUAAAAAUGUGAGUGUGCAUAUAUAUUAGGCAAUUAUGCGCUCAGGUGCUAAAGUAAAAAUUCUGCUGAAUAAAUAUGAAAUAUGCCUCUAUCAGCAUCCAACUGUUGUUCCCUCGCACUAGUAAUUUGAGACAAUAAUUGGGAAAGCAUGUUUGCCUUUUUCUGAUGAGAUAUUAUGAUAGCUCUCUGUAGCCUGGAUUUAAAUCUGUAUUGAUCAUCGUCGGUCUCAGGAGCUCGAAUCCAAACAGCAGUACAGCUCCUGCACGGUUUCCUAUAUUUCUCUCUUUGAUUUGCAUGAUUAUUUUAGAGAAAUCUCACAAUUCAAGGACAUUAAAUGUCAGAUAUUGUGUAACAUAAGACGCUCGUUUGUGUUUGUUCUCGCCCUCUUUUCCAGUAGUAGUGUGCUAAUGUCAUGAUUUAAAUGAAGUAUUGAUCAGUUUAGGAGGGGAGAAUAGAGAGAGAGGGAGCGAUUGUGAGGGAAAGAAAGCAAGACCAGGGUUAUCGGUGUGGAUCGCAUACAGAAAGAGAGUGCUAACGGAUGAGACACGUUUUAAGUGAUUCCGCGAAAUGGAUUUCUGUAUAAUCUGUGUUUUUAAUUCAGGAUUGACCGCCAGCCUCUUUUGUUUGACCCAUUCCGAGAAUCAAAACGGACACGGAGAUAACACUGUGCCUUGAACAGCGCAAGAACGGAAAUAACUCUUUUUCACUCUUGUUUUUUGUUAUAUUAUUUCAUCGAGUGUUUGCCAGCCUGUUUGACGAUGGUUAAAUCAGGCUUUGUUCCUGUCCGGGUCUCCAUCUUCUCUGGUUAUAAUUCCUUCUGUAAGGACGCCACUGCAUCGGGCAUACUGGAUUAAAGGCUCCGUCCAGGUGAACCAGCUGGACAUCCAGGAGAAAGGAUCUCUCAGUUGCUGCCUGAACUGCAGGAGAGUCGUCUGGAUCUCCGGAGGAACAGAGUCGCAUGCAGCAAAACCAAAAGCAGCUUCAGAGCCAGACUCAGCAGGCCCAGGAGCUCCAGAGUCAGGUGCUGCAACCAAUUGCCACCUGGCAUGGGGGCACACCUGCAGCCCAGCAGCCAGGUCAGAAGGGACAUACGUGGAGAGGGCCGAGAAGCAGGAGGAAGAGGAUUAACGGAACAGCAGUUUGGGGGAAACCAGCGGAGGAGGAGAGAAGAACGAAGACCUCUCAAAUGGCUUGAGAGAAGUCCCUUUGAACCCGAGGAGGGAACAUGGGAGCUGGCGGGCCGCCACUCAGAGAGUCGAUCUGUGUUUGGCUCACAGGGGAGAGAAAGAAUAGAGGGGACACGGAGUAUAUGGAAGCCAGCAACGCAACCAGUACAAGUGGAAGAGCUCCUCAGUGCGCCACAUAAGACUCACCAGAGAACGUCAUUCAAAUCCAAAGAGAUGGGUCAGCAGACAGAAGAGCCAGACUGGAAGAGAAACAAAACUUACUGGGGUUAAGCUAAGACAACAUGCAGUGAUAGAUGAGGAAACACGAUUUUCCAAACACCUCGACGGGACUCCACAGGUUGGAAUGCAGGCAGAGGUUCACACAGAGAACGGACAUUAUAAGCUGCGGUUGCCUUGGGUUGUAUUCACACCUUGACGCUCCCCCGGCCUCUCCAUGUUAUUGUGUGCUCACUGUGUUUUCUUUAAUUAUGUAGUGCGAGAGUUGGUUCAAUUUCACACUUCCACAAACAUGCAACUAAGGCGUCCUGAUAAGUGCGAUUCACUGAACUUUAAACGUGUGUGUAGUGUGUGUGGGAAAGCAUGCAUGUGUGUUUUGUGUCUCUGUGUCAUCAACUGGAGCCGUGUUUCAGUAACUGCUCACGGACAUAGAAUCCCAUUUAGCAUUAAAUGUAAAAAAAAACCCGAUUUGUGUCACUGGUUAUUUUAAUAUUGUUGUGUCCUUUUAAUCUUUUGUUUGCAUGUCUCUCUGUUUGCACGUGUCACUGGCGGUAUUGACACCGGACCUGUUGAUCCUGGGGUGAAAAAUCAGAAGCUUCAGAGGCCGAUAACAGCUCCAACACAAAAGUUUCUUUUGCUGGAAAGGGGUUGCCAGUCGUAACAAAACAGUCCUACCCGAUGAGAAGCGGUAACCAAGAUCUUGGUCCUCAAAGUAGUUUUCCUCAUUUAUUGUUGAUUAUUUUAUCUGAUCUAAUCUUACCACACUCUGCUCUGCAGCUGCCAAUCUGCUGUUUGAUCCUCUCAGAGAGCUACAAUCUCUGUGUCAAUGUGAGGUUGUAGGUGGUCAGAAAAAGUAUUGCAACUUUUCCCGAAAAGUACCCGAAGGCGUUCAACAAAGUUAUGCUUACCUUCAAAUACAUCUAUUCUUCAGGCCUAACCGAAAAAUGAGAUGUAUUCUCUUGAACCCUUUACCUACACAACUAGCAGCCAUAAAGCACGAUUAUCAGUCAUGUGGAGUUUCUUGCCACCUGAGAAUAAUACCAACAUUCACUGUCCUUAGCUAAGGUUUGGUGUCUGCUGACUCCUGGGUGAAAUAUCUGUCUCUAGCUGCUAAAUGCUCUGUUGUUGUCACUUUGUUGAUGACUUUGUCUGGUUGCUGUUCAGUGGCCUUUUAGGCCCUUAGGCCCACUGGUUGCUCUUUUGGUUUUCACAUACCUGUAGUAGUAUGAUCCAUACAGACUAAGAAACCUUUGUGCCCUGAGUCGAAUGAAUUCUAUUCAACAUGCGACAGAAGCGAGCCUCACAAGGGUGGUCACGCAUGUCACGCUUCCUCAAGGUGUCAAUUUGUAUCAUUACAUUACAGCAAGCUUUUCUUGGCAUGGCUCAUUUGUUAUAAUCUUGUUUUUGCACCUUCAUAAUAUAGUUUUUUUUUUAAUUAGCUGAGAUUGAUUAAAUUGCAUUGAUUCUGUAUCCUUAUUAAAUUCUCUCCCCUCCCUCCACAUCCCCCUUUCCUUCCUUAUUUGUCAUAAUUACCGUGUGCCUUUGGAGGAGGCACCACAGCGUUACACAUUUUGUAAAUCAAGGCAAUGGUUAGAAUAAUUCAUUGCAGUUGCUGUCAAAGAGCUGCACAUUGACAGGGAUUUUAUGAGUUUCUGCAGGUAUGAUUUGAUGAGAUUUAGAUAUGUGAAAGCACUGUUGCUGAAAAGACCAGAAAAUUAGAAAAUGAGCUGAGUCCCGGUUCGGAUCAAUCCCACAGACGCUGCCCCACCCGUCCGCUCAGCAGUGACCUUGGCUGUUCGGCCCGUAGCAUGUGGGCAUAUGUAUGCGGCCGUGCACGCAUGCGUGCAUUCGUCUGCCUGCUAGUAGAGAAUCUCAUUCCAAACCUAUUGCUCAUUUUAAUUUUGAUUGAUGACUCCGUUUAUCUUUGGAAUAACAAUCCUCUAAUACCCCCCACCACCUCGUCAACACCCUCUGUUUCACCACACCGUAGACCCUGAUUCCUCUCUCCAUCACUCCCCCAGUACAGAAAUUAUAUUAGUAACAAAAUGAGAUUUGAAAUCUUGUGUUUGACAAGCAGCUUGAUGAAAGGGAUUCAUAGCUGGGCUUGAUCCAUGGACAUUUUAUGCUAAUAACACUGCUGGCCAAGCACUCUAGUUGGAAAUUAAUCAGGGGGCUGGACUAAUAGGAGAGGAAAGAGGAGGAGAAGGUGGAUUUCUCCAUAAACAGCCCCCCUCAUUCCCUCUCUCCAGCUCUGAAUCUCAUCAGAAAUAGCCAUGGGGUGUUGUCUAUGUGAUGGGGUAGGGAGAGAAAUGGGGAGUUAGAAAAUUACACUGCUGCUUAGCACUGAUUGAUGCAGUGAUGUAUGCAGUAAUGUAUGCAGCCAUGCAGCGAGCUGCCGCAUCAUGGAUUAGACCUCUCCCCUUCUCAAGCUGUCCCCUUACGCAUCGGAGAGGAAACACACACAUCUUUAGAAACAAAAGCACAAGCACCUCUUUAGUUACGUCUGUAAUUAUCAUAUUCAUCCUGUACAGCCUUUGGUUGUGUCUUUUCUAUAUGUGUCACUUUUUGUCGCAUGUGUGUGGUAAGGUGUGUAUCUAAUGGUGAUUCACCAGACAGCCCCUGAGCAGAUGAGAGUUCUUUUCUCUGUCUCAUCACACUGUCUCACACACACACACACACACACACACACACACACACACACACACACACACACACACACACACACACACACACACACAAGCACUCUUUGUCUCCCCUAGUUAUUCUCUUUCCCACUAAACCCUGGGAGUCAUCAUUACGUUGACUUGCUAAUGAAGUCGUUAUCCGAUUUCACUCGUAUAAUACAACACAAUUAGUACAGAGGCCUUAAUGAUGUUUGCAAGUUAAAUGAAAAGAAUGAGCUUUUCUUGUCUAUUCCUCCGCCUCAUUUACUUUCUCUACGCUUGCUGUUUAGUUGGAAUAAAGAGAGUGAAUUAAUCACUGAAGUGUUUUUGUAGGUGUGUUGGUGACUAUUUCUCAGCCAUGUUACAAGUCAUUGUGAUUUAUUAUUUUUACCCUGAGAGACAUCUGUUACACCAUUCCUUAUUUUUGUAAUGCAUCAACAGCCAGAGGAAAAACAAUAUUAUCCAGUCUGGGAUAUUGUACUCUGGAGUCUAAUAAUCUAAUAUACAACAGAGCUGGCGUCAUUAAAGUGCUCGUGGAGCUGUAGGAAGAUGGUAGGCACUCAUCUGUCUGAAUCCCCACCGGUGAUCGUGUUCCGUCCCACCACCUGCCCCAGCGCCAAUACACACACACCAGAGCAAAACACAUACUAGCUUACUAGUUCUGUUACAGUGGUCAGCCCAAGGCAGGGUGGAGGAAGUCCCCACCAACAGGUCCACGAUGGCACUGCUCAGCUCCGAAAUGGAGGACGCAGAGACUGACCCGGUGGUUUAAACAAAAACCAGUGCUGUCCAAUUGUGUGGGACUGCAACAAAAAAGUGUAUCAUCCGUCAGUUUUCAGUCAUAGAAUCCUUCAGAGGGAGAUUCAGGACGGAGAUUUGGUGCUAUAGAACAUCCUUGGACUAAAUUGUUUACUUGAAGAAAAGAUUUAUUCAUUCAUUUAUUUGUUGAUAGGUGGCAAGCUGUAUUGACGUAUGUUCUUGUGAGUACAUUUGUAUGGAGAGAGAGAGAGAGAGUUUGUAAACAUACAAGACUGUAGAGGGACAACGUGGACAUAUCAUCUCUGAGUACUGAUGGACUAAAGUGGAAAGUCUUGCUGAGGAAGAGUUGUGUGUGUGUGUGAGAAUUAUAAAUAAUGGGUGUUAGUGGCCAGUGGAGACCAGUAGUGGAGGUGGAUGAAGGUCUGAUGGGGAGCUCACCUCCAUCUGUGAUUGAAGUGUGGAGGUGCUGCUCCCGACACGCUUACUUUUACACUCAUUUUCUACUCGGCCAUAAGUGCAGUAAACAGACACAACAGAUCCCCAAGUGCCCUCGCCUGCUCAUCCCGCCCCAGCCUCUCUCCCUGUCAGAAUCAGAGCAUGUCAAUCCCUGGAUUUCACCUUCUUAUGCCAGACCUUGAUUAGCAAUAGAAAACCUCUUAAUCACACGCGCAUAAUGUAUGUCUCAUACAAGGUCCUCUGGAGGGUUACACACAGCACAGACAUUUAACAUGUACAUGUACAUGUCUUUACUACAUAUUAAAUUGUUUUGCUGCAUUUCUCCAGUGUCCUCUUCAUCAUAUAUGUAUAUAUAACGGUUUCUACGAAAAAGAGGAGCAGGUGGAGGUUAUAGAGUCAUCCAUGACGCCAACUACGCAGUAUGUGUAGUUUUGAAACAAAUAUUCACACUGACAAAUAAGGAAGGAAGGUGGUGUGUGUGGGGAUGCCAGUUUUUGGACACCUUGUUAUGACCAUUAUUAGUAAAUCCCACUUCCUCCCCUCAAACUUCCCCCCCUCCAACUCAAAUUGAGGACAGAAAGUUAAAACCGACACUUGGAAAACCACUAGUAUGUAGCCUUUUAUUAACACAAAAUAACCAGCAACCUAAUGUUGUGCCAAAGAAAGGAGGCAAGUGCCCAUCACCUGGCAGGCCCUCGGCAUGUAAAGUCUCACCCCACAGCAGUGACUAAUUGUUUGUUAUGUCAGUGCUUGUCGUGUCCGUUUGCCUUUAAUGGAGUGUAGUGUGGUGAUCCAUCAGGCUGUCGAGCAAGCACCAUGUCAGUUGAAGUGGCUGUGUGUCAGUGGGGCGAGCGUGCCGUGCAAAUGUGAUUUACUGCCCUGCUUGUUACACCGCACUGUGCCUUGCCUCUUACCCGCGCAACGCAGCCCGGCUCCUGUCCUCCACUCGUCUCCCCUUUACUCUUCUUUCUUUUCCCAGAUUGAUUACCGGCACAACUGGCUCACGCGUCACUCGCCAUCUUCUGGCAACCUUCUACUGGUCAGCGCACCUCAUUUGGCUAUUUAUACAUCUAUGAAUCUGCUGGAGGCGGAGGUCCUCACAGGAGCCAGCAGCACAUAACAGCUCGAGACCAGAGGGUCACCAAACGGGACCAACACCUCAAGGCUGCUCAUAGCUAAACCACUGAAAGGAAGCAGGUACCAGCUGGGACAUGUAUCCAUGUUACCCUUCACAUUAAAACCGAACACCUUACAUACAUACAUGAUAUAUUUAGCACGUCAGCAGGGCAGAAAUGUGUGGACUAGAUAGAUAUCUGUAGGAAACACAGGAUGCUCUGUAGAGAGUCACAGCAGCAUACACACACGCUCAAGCACUAAGACCACUGCAAAGACUACAAAACACUGAGGUUGGUUUCUCUACCUUACUGAGAAAGUGCUGUCAUAUAGUUCUCAUAAUUGCUGUGGUCCAAGACAUUGCGCAAGACAGUGGAUUGUGGGUCCAGCUAAUCAGUGGAUUACUUGUGGGGAGCAUCACACUCCAUCCCUUUGAUAUACUGCUACAGUCAUUCUUCAUUGUCAAAUGGGGCUCAAAUGUCUAGAAUAACGUCUUGAACUAGGAGGGAAAGUUCUCAAACAACAGCUCUGCUGUCAGCUUCAUAUCAGUUUUUGUUUUUAAGAAGAUGCUAUUGAAAUUAUAAUGAAGAAAUAAAAAAUACAUUAAAAAAAGUGAUUGAAAGUGAAUGAAUCUGGGUGACAGGCAUAAAGGAGUGAAAGUGAAAGGCUUUUUGCAAAUCAAAAUAGUCUUACACGUUUCAGCUAGAGAAAAGAUUUGUUGAAAAAAAUAUGGUACCAAGAAAGUAGGUGUGCCUGGCUGAAGUAGACCAAAUAUAAGCCUUUUCACACAUCCACUCAAAGCCGUUGAAAGACAAAUGUGUUCAAAGGAUGUGUGUUUGUGUAACAGUUUACAUACAUUUGCUCCUGUGUAUGUUUCAUUUUAGAUGUGUGUUUUUUGUGUAUGUAGCGGUGCAGCACGAGCGGACUUUGUCAGCAGCUCUGCACCAGCGGAGGUGGUGAAGACUGAGCUUCUCCAGAGCAGUGACCCCACAACAACUAAGCACAAAUACACAAGGACUCUUAAUGCCCCGUUCCUCUCACUCCGCACCAUCCGUCUGGGCUGCGUGUGGGCCAGGAGCUCAAUAAGCAGAUCAUUACAGGUUGGUGCCCUUGUGUGAAAUCAGAUGUUUAACUGGCCAUCUGAGUGUUUGACAUGAGCAUCUUAACCAGCACAUUGCCACAGGUCUGAUGUUCACUCAGCCACCAGGGCCGCUGUGAGUGCGCCCGCCACCUGCCAAUAGGCAUUAGGGAGGAUUUAGUAAUUAAGUGAUAGGCUGAGGACUAAAUUGGGUGUUUGCGGGCUGGCGAGCCACCCUAAGGUCCCUACAGCCAUGCAGAUAGGGGAUUCUAAUUGCCAGGAAUAUUGAUCAGCCUGGCGAGGGGGUGCACAGGGAAUUCACAAGCCAUCGAUUAGCUGUUACUGCCCCUCACUUGUCAAUGGAAGAGGGAGGUGAGCAUUGGAAAGGCUUCAGGCUUUUGCCACAUUAUCCAGCACCCCCCACCAGCUCCUGACAGGCCUACACAGUCAGUAUCAAUGACACAGCAGGAUGUGAUGAAAGUACUCUCUGAACUUCUCUGUAGCUCCUCCAUAUCUUUAAACCGCCAUCAUUCUCUUUCAGGCAGUCCAUAGGUGAAACUGUGAGCAGGAGAAGGGCCUGCUGUAACUCUACAAGUGAGGAAGUGCUUUCUUUCCUCCCAAAGUCUCACUUCCACCCUAAUUAAUGUUGGAUGGAGAGGGGGGUAUUGAGAGGGGGUAUUGCGAUUGUCUGCCAUCUAAUAUUUAAUUUAUUGCUUCACCUUGGUUUGGCAUCGUACUCAAAGGGGCCUUUGAAAAGAACCUAUAGGCUAUUUGCAUGGAUGCUCUUUGCAUCAACAAGACAUGGUUUGUGUUAUUCAUUAUGUUUGUAUAGUUGACUCAGUUUACUUUUCUCUACCUUCUCAGCUGGUGUUUCAUAUCCUCGCCGAAGUGAAUUGCACAAGCAGAGAAAAGGCUUUGUGCACAGCAGUGUCUAACUUGAGUCAUUUAGAGCCCAUUACAAAAGAUCAAUAUAUUGAUUGAAGCAAGUGUCCCAGUGUACUGCUCUGUAAACACAUGGUCGUUCUGUCUUGCAUGUUUUAUCUGCCUGAAUCUUAUCGGGUUUAAAUCUUUUCAUCUUUAAUUCACUUAAUCCUGGCACUAUCGGCUUUUGAGCCAGAGCUUCUACUCCCUCUACCCGGGUUUGUUUGCCUAAUUCUUGACAACAAAACGGAAUAUAACAACAAUAUAAAAGACAUAAUGCUAAUAAUAUUUUUCACACAUGUUUAAAGGCUCUGCAGAUAUGUUUGAUAGUGCCAUCCUUAAACUAUAAAUGCUCACGGUUUUGCAAGCUCCUUUCUACUUUGAAUAGGAACUUUCCACAAAUGGCGAAGUCUGUUCUGCGUUUAAGAGCAAACUGAAGACUGCCUCUUGUACCAUAAAACAAUCCAAUUAGCAGAAGAAACCAGAAGAUUGGAAGCAGAUUGACUGGUGCAUACAGCCAUGUCCAAAUAUAAUUACAAAAACAAUCUUAAACUUUUAGCAUGUACCCCCAACAGAUUUUAACUGGAAUUACAAAGCUUCUGUUGAAACACCGUCUGACAAAAAGUCAUAGUAUGGUGCGUCAUACAUUAUGGUGUCAUGUCCCUCGCUGCUUUAAGGUUUUUCUUUUAUGUUCGUGCAUAGUUGUUGUUUUUUUCUUACUCCCAUUUGCUCUCGUUUCACUCACUUCACCAUUAUGUGCCCCUCCAGAUUAGUUUGAGUUGUACAAAUAAGUUAUCAAAAAAGUGUUAUUAUAGUACCACAAAACUCCUACAAAGUCUUAUUAUUGUAUAGUACGAAAAGUUUAGACGAGUGUCAAAAAGGUCAUUAAAAAGGACUAGCAGUGUAAAAUAUGUAAAAGUAGAAAAAACAUUCUAGCUUAAUAGGAAAUGGAAAUAGGAAAUAAUGUGUUAGCUGAUUUGUUGAUAUUUAGUAGGAUAAGAAUCGGGAUUUUACAUUUUUUUCCCAUUUAAGAGUCAUGAUUUCCAAGGUCAUCUUGUUGUCACUGAAGCGGGAUUGUUUCCCUAUGCUUCUCUUUUGAUUGAAGCUUCACUAUAACAUUUAUACGCCACUCAGCGUCACCCUCCAGCCAUGCCCACAAAUUGAAUUAGUUUCAGUUGGAAUUUGUGUUUCAAAUCCAGUAAUUAUUUUGGAACCCCAGCGGACGCCAAGAGAAAUGAGUCAGAUCUUCACAAGUCAUGAAAUUUGACGAUAUAUGAAUUUACACCAACCAAAGGGACACAAGCCUGAAGCACAGCAAUUUACCAAGCAUUCAUCUGUCAGCAAAUUAAAUUACACCACAUGUGAAAUCUUUCAGAAAGUUUCAUAAAUCUGAUGAAAAAGUUUCUCUCCCAAUUACCAUGUGAAAUUAAUCUCCUUAAUCCCAAUUUGAUCUCUUUCAUGCGUAUAGGGGGUAUCUUUCAUCUGCCCACCUAUGUGCUUCAAAUCUCUUCCACAGAAUUAAGAGAGAACUUGGUCCUCCGUGAAACAACACACAUAAAACUCUGUGUAGAUAAACAAAUGGGAUAAGAAACAUUAAAAAAUAAAGAUCAAUUUGCCAAAUGAUGGAAGAAUGGCAGGAGAUGCCUUAGCACCAAAACACAUGAUCAGUCUAAAGACCAUUUGCAGACAUUGUGAGCAGCGAAUUCCGAAAAUGCACUCUUUGUUGCCCAAAACUGUUCCCAGCAUUCGAGUAGACCGGACAGUAGUUGAUUCAGAUCAGACCGACACAGAAGUCCUCCCCUCUGACCCGGCUAUGACCCAAAAGCCCUGAGCAACGCUAUGAUGUAAUGCGCUACAACACAUAUGUCGAACUCGGGGCGUCUAGUGCGGCCCGCCUGACUUUGCUAUUGUGAGAAAUACAGAAAGAUCUCCACACAUGCGCGGUCGCUUCUGACAGAGGAGAGGCUCGUCGUGUCUCCUUAUUGAUUGGUUUUGCACGUCUCAUCUCCUUUCUUAACAGUGGGUAUUAGUUCAAGAUAGCCAGAGCGAUGUUCUUUAUACCCUAAUCUGGAUCUUUGACUCGACCACUCAGCCUUUUUCUCAGAAAGAAUCACAACCUCCACAAUAAUUCUACACAAGUUCAGAUUCUAAUGUGAGGAAAAGGGGAGAUGUUGAUUUGCACUCUCUCUGUAUUCCUAAAGCUGAUUAGAUAUAAAAAAAAAAGUAUAUUUCUUCAUUAAAGGCCUGGAUUUUCAUUAGGAUUUAAUGCUUUUUAGCUUAUUAGCAACACCCAGACCUCAAUAAUUUAACAUUGUAUAGGUAUUUUUCUUAAUUGUAUAUUUGUUUUGGUGUGGCGCUCCAGGUGUACACAUUGUUUCUGGCUCCUUGCUCUACUGUGCCAUUAUUCUAAUUGAUGUGUGUGACUGUACAUGCAUGAUUGCAUACAUGUGUAUGUCUGUGUAUGUAUGUUUGUGUGUGUGUGUGUGUGUACUAACUCCUGAGCCAAAAGCACAUCUGUGGCUCAUCUCUGCAGCCUGGCGUCAGCCUCCUUAAGUGCUGUCAAUGUCACAUGGUAACAGCAGCACAGCAAUCUCUUAAUUGGUUUAGGAAAAGCAUCCUUGUCAUUUUGCGGUCAGUAAACUCUGCUGAAGAAAAUGAAGUCCGAGCUGCUGCCGCCAUCUCCUCAACCCCCACACAGCCGGCCCAACAAAAAAACAAUCAUUAUGUGCCGUGUAUAUUUGUGCGUUCGCUGUCUGUUUUCACUUUAUGCUUUCAGAAAUAAUUGCUGCUGGUUGUGCGGCUGCAUUAGAGAGGGGGCAUUAAUGAUUCUCACUGGCGGCGAGAAAACACUGCUUUGUAAAGGGCGGGUUUUCUAGAACUAAACGCGUGUGUAUUUGUGCCUGAAUGUGUUUGUGUUUGGUAAUGUAUUUUUAGUCGCGUCCUCAUUUUGUUGUGCAGUACAUAUGCAGCCUAUCACAAAUACGCCAGCAGUGAGUGCAGAAAUGUGUGUAUCUCUGAAUCUCUUUACUAAAUGCGUGCACGUGCGUGUGUGUGUGUGUGUGUGUGUGUGUGUGUGUGUGUGUGUUAAAUGUAUGUGCAUAGCAGUCCUUUUUGCACGGAUUAGCCGGUGAAUCCUGCAAGAGGGCGAUCAGACUGGGAGCACACCAGGGUUGCUCUGCGAUCACAAAAGGAUUAUAAGGGAUGUGGAGCCGCGGUGCAUUCCAGGGCCGCCUCCAGUCAGGCUCAUCUCCGCCACGCUCCCCUCACACACACCACUUUAAUUGCCUUUGGUUCUUUCAUUACUUUUAUUGCCUCUCCUCUGCAUUGCGGGCUCCCUGGGCUUGUGGAAAGGUCACUGUGACGGGGGUGAUGGUGGUGUGCUCAUAGCCGUGGUCUCCCUGACUAGCAGGAAAUGGCUGUGGGGCUGACGCUGGAGGAAUGAGACACACAGCGAGGUAGGAACCGAGAGGCGAGUUUUAAUCUUAAAGACAAAUUCAUCUUUUCAAAAUGUCGGUAAAAUAAGACACCAGAAUUUUUGAAAGCCGCCAAACUCGUCAUUCUCAUCUCGUCGUGCCUCACUGGGAGGGAUACAGAUAAUCGAUCUUCACUCUGACUAUCUAUUGAGGGUGAUGUGAAGUUAGGCGAAUGCAUAAUCGUUGCAUAAUAAAAGCGCUUUUAUUACAUGACAGAUUGUGGGCCUAGCAUUAGUGAUAUCCAGACAUGGAACAGUGAAGAGUUGGCAGCGCUUGGAUGAGGGACAUGUUGCCGUAUUAUCGCAUCAUCUGUGCACAAAGGGCAGUAGUAGUGUUAGCAGCAUCCAAUAACAGUUUGCAUUGUAGUAAAAUGUGUUACCUUCCUAAUAAAUACAUAUAGAGAUUCCAUCAUACUUACUAUAUGUUGGAUUACUUUUUACUUCAUGAUUGAGUUUGUAAAAACAGAAUGACAUUAUGUCGUAUAUAUGGGAUAUUCAAAAUAUAACCAUUUCUCAUAUCUGCAUUUUACUCACUCUGUCUUCCUUUGACUCUGUCGCAGUCCCAGGUGCAGGUUUUGUGUUCGGUUCCAAGGCUCUUGUGUCUACAAGAUGCUCUCCUCUGUCAACCAGUUGUUCUUUAAACGCACACAGGAAUCCAUCUGGAGGAGGGAGACUCGGCAAAUUGAGGUCAGGAGACUUAAAGCUGAGCUUGAUGACUGUAGGAUUGAAGAGGAGGAGGUUCAGCUACAGCAGCUAACCUGCUCCGUGCCCCGGUUCAGACGGCACAAGAAGUCCAUGUGAUUGGCUGAUGGCACCAACAACGUACGUGUGAGGCGUCAUCACACUGGGUAUUGAAAUACUGCGAUGAAUAGGAAAUGUUUCUGGUUGAUUGGAGAACUUUGAGAACUAGACUUGUUUGAUUUACGAGGACACUAGAGAGUAUUGCACUUCCAUAAAGUUGCAGGACUGAGCAAAGAAAAACGCAUCUUUUAGUCCCUAAGCUCCAAAAACACUGAAUCCUACUUUUCGCAUUAUGCAGCGACAGCAUCUUUUAUUAAACGACUGAUGAUCAGAUGAUCAGAUUUGGAUGCUACUUUGAUAAAGCAGAACCCACCUUUCAAUUCCCAGGAACAGAUAUAUUUGCUUUAUUAAUGAUAAGCACCUAGAAAGGAUGAUUUAUUACAACCCAACACGUUUUCAGGUCUGUAUUCUUACUUCACUAUUUGUACAGGUUUUUUUCUUUUGUUUAGCAGGGGUCUUUAUCUAACAGAUAUUUUUUUGUUAUGAGCUUUUUUGGCCAUAUGUGAAUUGUACUAUAAAACUUGGACUACUUGUAAUCAAAAAUGUUUCUGCAUCAUAUUUAACUCUACCAUAUCAAUGUAAAACGCUUUCAGGAAUAAUUCAAUUCCGUACCUCUUUAUCUUUCAGUAAUCACAUCAGAGCUUUGAUUUCACUAGUUUUUAGCACAUGCAAGUGGAAUACAGGAGAGUUCAAAUGAAUUUUGAUCGAUUUCUAGUGACUAAGCUUCUGUAUGAUGAUUUCACAACAAAGGAAAAGAUGAGUGCUUUUGGAUGUGUUUUGAGUCACAGAGCAACUGUUCCUAGAGCCACAGACCCCACAAGCCACUGCAGCCAAAUCUUAAUGAGUACGGGCAGAUGGACAAGAAACUGCAGCCAAAUACAAAAAAUAAUAAAGGCAUCUAAACCCUAACAA